rnacentral:lncRNA from 1 species
UAGAUCAGAGGGAAGUAUCUAGAUGGAUAUUCUCACACCAGGCAGGAGUGAGUUUCCACUGGAGGCUCUCCCUUGUUGGCAGCAGAGCACAACUCUGGCUGAUUGAAGCAGAAAAGGAAUUUGUUAAAGGGCCAUUGUGUAGUUCAUGGAUGGAGGCAUGUGGGGUGAGACCAGACUCACCGGCCACCUGGGCAGGAAGAAGACCAGGGCCAAGGGCUGUCAGGACUGGCCCAGAACAACUCCACACCCACGUGGCUGCACCUAUGCGCACGACAGGACCAUGCAUGCCUCCUGCCCCUGAGAUCCGCCCACUGCUGCUUCUGGAAGAGGUGUGGCAUGACGUACACAGGAAGGACAGAGCCACCAGCUUUCCCGGGGCCAGCAGGCUGCUUGGCUUGUGUUUGCUCGGUCGACUGUCUGGAGCUGGAUCUGGAUACUUCUCAAAGGGGAGGAAGGACUGCAGAUGCUGGGUGGCACAGGAGCAGAUGUCACCCCAGAGGGCAUUUCCGAUCUUGGAAGGACCUGUGUCACUGGGGACUCCUCAGACAGCAGCAGAACCCUGUCCCACCAUCUACACUGUCCCGUCUACCCUGUUGUCCCUCUGCCUGCAUCGAAGAAGUGGUUCAGCGGGGAUCUGGACAGUCAGCCCUUUGGACAUCUUCCUUGUAGAAAUUCUGCAUCUCCACUACACAUACCACACACAUCUCUACCCUCCCUCCAUGUAUCAGUGUGUACAUGUAUUUAUACAAACAUGUAGGUGACCCCGGUCCCAAGCCCCACAACUGGAGUUGCCACCUGUAGCCGGCUUGACAAUGAUGAUGAUAACAGGGGACGGAUGGACACAUGGAACGGAUGUAGCUCUAGCAGACAGAGGAGCCCAGAACCUCCGGCUCACCUCGCUUUUAUUCACCCAAACAUGGGCACAAGUAAUCAAGGUAACACACGAUUCAUCUGGUUUCCAAUAUCAUUAGUAUAUUCUCUGGUAAACAGCUUAACCUCUGCUGUCUUAACUUUUUCCCUAAUAUGCAAUCACCCCUGACUGCAGCCUUUCCCCUUUGUGCUCACAUUGGAGGUGAAUUAGGCCUCAAAUCUCCUCUGGUCUCCCUCUCUCCCUCUCUCUCUCUCUCUCUCUCUCUCCCCCCCCUCCCUCCCUCCCUCUCUCCCUCUCCC